rnacentral:lncRNA from 1 species
CUGUCUUUCAAAAAGUUCUGUAUACUUUCUUCAGUCGCAUGUUAACUUAUUUCCAAGACUCUGAUGUUUCUAACCUUUUAAAGAUUUCAGAGAAUUAAUGGGACACAUGAGAUUUUCACAGUCCUGGCCCUGCAGUCAUCCAAUUGGAGAAUGAGCCAAUCCUCUUUCGCAAGGGCAGUUAUCCCAGACAAGUUCAUGUUCCAAGAAGCCAGAUCAGUGUUUCCGGAGACCGUGGCAGAUACUUGGUGGCAUUGGGGUGUUGCAUUGGACUGAAGCCUCUUCAGAACACUGAGGAUAUACCAAUUCAUUUUAGAAGCCUCCAAGUAUUUCAGCUCCACAGUUCUGAUGUGUACCUUUCCUCAGACACAAAAGAAAGAACUGUAACAAGUCACAGAUAUCCUUGAUGUUCAAAAUAUGUUGUUGCUGAAAAAUUUUAAAGGAUUUUUCCAACAAAGUCCCAUGAAUUUAUCCAAUAUCUCCCUGUAAUGGCAUGUGAAUAAAUGUACGAUUUAUUGUGUUAUAUUUGCCGAAGAGAAAUCUGUCAAAUGAGGAUGUCUAGA